GCUACUGGGUAGCGCUCGCCCCUGCCUCCCCCCCACCUCUCUUCACAAGAGAGGUUUGGACUGCAGCCCCAUAGAAUGGCCUGUGCAUUCUUUCAGCUGGGGAAGUUUCCAGAUAGCACCCCAACUUCCCUGCCAUGGCCACUGUCUUCUCCUUUUUAACAGAAAUCUCUUCUGUUUUCCAUUCUCUUCUUACCAGGAGGUAGUUAUUGUUGCUAACUGUGCAGGACAGUGUGGCUCUUUAUCUGAGGUUUUUGUUUGUUUUUUGCGAUAUGCAGGCCUCUCACUGUUGUGACCUCUCCCGUUGCAGAGCACAGGCUCCGGACGCGCAGGCUCAGCGGCCAUGGCUCACGGCCCCAGCCGCUCUGCAGCAUGUGGGAUCUUCCCGGACCGGGGCACGAACUCGUGUCCCCUGCAUCGGCAGGCGGACUCUCAACCACUGUGCCACCAGGGAAGCCCCUCUCUGAGUUUUUAAAAACUGUUGCAGACGUGCAAGUUGGCCUGACUGCCAAUAAGCAGAUGGGUCCAUGUGAAUCCACUCCCCCCGUCCUCAGGAGCACCUGCAAUGGAACAGCCGUAUGCCACGGGGACCCGCGGGGCAUCACAGCGAGAGGGGGUCACGAAGGACCACACGUAGCAGUGGGGCCUGUGUCUGGUGAUUUGGGGAGCGUUUAAGGAAGCCGGGUGUCGCUCUGGAUUGGAUGUUGUCAGGAAGCGGGGAAGCAAGGCGGGGCACUAUCGCUGGCCACUGCCACCUGCCCUGGAGGACACAAGCUGUUGAGCAGGACCGGCUACAUAAUUUGCAGGCCCAGUACAAAAUGGAAACACGGGGCCCCUUGUUCAAAAAUCAUUCACAAUUUCAAGACAGCGAGAGCAGAAAGUUAAAGCAAGUGCAGGGCUGUUCUGAGCCUGAGGAGGCCUGUGGAGCCUUGCUGCCCCUGCAGUGUGGCAGACAAGGACAACUGCGUUCCCGGGGACCUGACUCCGGAGGAAUGACCAGAACUGGAGAGCAUCCCAAGAAGCAAGCAAGAGCUGCAGUCUGAAGAAUAGAGACUGAAGGCUGAGAUAGCAGAAGAGCUAUGGAAAUUGAGGACCCUGGGAUCCACAGAAGAAAGGAAAACAUGCAGGGCAACAAACAGGUGGCCUGGGCUGGAGAAAAUUAAUGUGGGGGCUGAAAGGGGGCCCCGGUUCUUAACAGGAUGGUCUAUUAAAGGACACUUGUGAAGACACUGCCCAGUUCCUGUGGAAAGGUGAAGGACUCAGCAAAACAGCCACUAGGGACUGUUUGCAGGAGAGAUUAAGCUUCAUAUCUAGGUUCCUCCUGCGCUUGUGGAGGUACAAGAGUUCACUGAUCUAGACUUUGUCCAGCCAUUACAGCAAUUCCUGAGGAGCCUGGGAGCGCCUAGAGAGGCACAGAGGACUGAUGGGAUGAUGGAGGCAUUUGCCCAGUGAUACUGUCAGUGUCAUAAAGAGGGCUUUAGUGGCCAGACACUGAUGUUCUCUCCUUUGUCGCAUCUUGUUGAUCACUAGCUACAACCCCGAAGUCAAAGACAAGCUCACAGCGAAAAGGUUCACUGCCACGAAUGUAGACAUCAGUGGUGGACGAGCAACUCUAGAAGCUGUAAUUUCUCAAGUCAACAUUAACAACGUUUUCCUCUCACUUCUUCCCCAUUCCCAUUUUUCGCAAAAACGUAGGCAACUAAGUUGAAUACCCAAGAGCUUUCUGUUCUGUGCGGAAACGCAGAGCCGGCCCUGGCUAUAGAUAAUGUA